rnacentral:lncRNA from 10 species
GAUUCUGUCUCCGUAAUGAGAAAGCGUCAGAGUGGGUAUGGUUCCGGGAGACUUUACUGAAUGGCAUGGGCACAGGCCCGCUAACCUAUGGGUGAGGAAAAGAUAUGACCUUCCCUCCCCUACAUUGUUAUUGUGGGGUGUGACUUCUAUACGUGAAGCAAGGCCAGCCACAUCCUACAUCAUAUAUCGGUCUGAGGAUUCAAAGGUUUACCUUAACAAUCCGGAAAGAAAUUUAAAAAUGAUUCCUGCAUAAAUAAAUUAGACUUUGUGAGUGUUUUAAACACAUACACCCCUACUAAAGGAUUUGCAGAUACCUUUGCUGACCCUGGAGGGAAGAAUUACCUUGUCCACAGUUCUCCUGUGUAGUGACUUGAGGGGCACUUGCCUACUGGGGGCUAACCCAGGGCUCAGAACAUUGAGAUCUAAUCCACUCGCUCCCCGCCCUGCCCCCCAGUCGUGAUGGCACAGCAACUGAGAUGAACCAUAGGGAUCCACUGCCCUCAACUCCGUGGCCAAUGGUGCAGAGGCUGCUAGAAGACUGUCCAAAUCCUCCCUGCACCCGAGGCACAGGGUCCCAUCCAGCAGGAGUCCAGCCAGGCCCUCAGGGCUGGCAGAGAGCUGACUGAUGGAGGGAGCCUCCCUGCCGAAAGAGUCUCCGCCUGGAAUUGAAAGACCCACUCUGC